GUUUCGGGACUAAAGGAAGAAACACAGAAUCCUUAAAAUUCAUUCGGAGGGUCACACGUAGAUCGUAUGCAAACCGAGUUAUUUUAAAAUGAGAAAAUGUGUUUCUCCACCGGAUGGAUGUUCUGAGUUCUCUCGGCAACGUACCCCAAGCCCACGGGAAUCUGACGGUGCCCGGCCUGCUCCCAGCAGCGGUGGGACGUGGUUUCCAGAAUUCCGUUGUAAAUCCGUCUAGUUGGCCAAGGUGGCAGCAAAGCAUCGGGAUAGCUCUUCAGGAUGCAGCGUCAAACGGAAGACCACGUUUCAGGACAAACGCUCAUCUACCCGCUUUUAAACGUCCAUCUCGUGUUUGUGCGUGUACAGGAGUAUCCACAGGGGCGUUUUUCUGUGAAACCUUCGUCUGAGAUAGCAGUAUACACAUUUCAUUUUAAGAAUACAUUCUUGUUUAAAGGCAAAACGGAACCUUAUACAGGUUUUGCUUUCUGAUUUCUGUUGAUUUCUGUAGCCCAGAAAAUGAGUAAGACUGGAAAAGGGAAAGACGGGUAGUUGCAGAUGAACAGAAUUUGUAUUUUAGAUUUUUGCUGUUUUCUAAAUUAUAACAAAACAAUGCUGUGUGGAUGCACUCCCUUUUAAAGACUAUUGUAAUCAGGACAAGAAGAAUUAAAUAUGGAAAAGUAACACACCAAAUGUAUGAAGAGAAUCGCUGUAACACAUUUCUUAUCCACAUGACCUGUCCUGUCUAGGAUUCCACGUUGCCUUUAGUCGUUGUAUCUCCUCUGCUCUGGGACAGUUCCUCAGUCUUUCCUUGUCUUCCAUGACCCUGAGAGUUUUGAAGAGUAAUGGUCAGGUUACAAGAUGAUUAUGCAUGAACAGAAACAGAAGGUAUAUACUGACAGGAAACAAAAGUACAUUAAACCACAGAGAUUUCCUCUUACACAUGCCUGCCAUUUGUAAAGCAGUUGCUCUGAUCCACAGAAAAGCUGGCAAAAACUGGAAAGAAACAUUCUCCAACAGCACUAGGGAGGGUAAAGUGAGGGAAAUGCCUUUUAAGUGUAUAGGGGUAAUAUAAAGACUUUAAGAAGAGAUGAAAGACAAUACCCAGGGACUUACUCAAAUCUGGACACUACCAUUGCAGAAAAUGUUACUGAGCCAUUUAUGUCUGACUAUAGGUCUGAUGAAGAGGGAAUACCAUUUGAAUCUGAGAAAACACACUUAAUUGAAUGUGUAUAUAAGGUUUUGAAUAUAUUUUACAUAUAUAUGUUUAAAUAAUAUAUAUUAUAUAAACUACAUACUAUAUAUAAUACAUAUUAUGUAUUUUAUUUAUACUUAACAUAAAUAAGUUUAUAUAUAUAAAACUUCCAACUACAUUAUAUACACACAUGCAGACACAGACACACAUACAUAUAUACACUUCCCACUAUCUACCAAAAUGUUAGAAAAGUGAAAUUGCAUCCUGUAGAAGGUCAGGGAGUUCUUGAGACUGACUCUCAUUAUGAGUACAAAUACCAUACCAAUUAAACUUUGUGUAGUUGCAAGAGCCCUGAACUUGUACUUGGAAGAUGGUAUUUCAAGUCUCUACCACUUUAUCAGGGCAAUCAUUUAACCGCACAAAGCCUCAGUUUCUCUUCUCUCAAAAAAAGUGAAACCAAAGCUAUCUUUCAGAGCAGAUACAUAAAGAGUAAGUGAAGUGAGUUAUUUCAAAGCUCAGAAUUAGAGUAAACUAUCAUUACUUAUAUAACGAUUGUGUUUUUAUGGAACAUAAUUUAAUAUGAGAUAUAUUUGACUCUGCAUAACCUUAAGCUUAUUGGUUAUGUACUUGGGUUGCUAUUUCUUGCUUGUCUGACAACCUUGCUUUCCACAGUGUCUCAACUUCAAAGAUAUAGAGCCACUUAAUUUCUGCAAAGUUGCUCUGAACAGUACUUUCAGGUAGCACUCUCGGCUAUCAAAUUUUGAACUACCCAAAAUUUAAACUUUCUCGACAUAGGGAAUUCUUAGCUUAUCUUCUCAGUAUGCAUUACUUAAAAUUUCAUAUAUUUUGCUGUUGGCCAUUUUCUUCCACAGUUCCUCCACUUAGCUAAUAGGAGUAACUAAAGUUUUUCAAGUGAUUCCUUUAUUUUGUUUUUAUGCUGUUGUUGGAUUCUUUUAGUGCUUGAGUUUUCUGAAUUCAGUCAUCUCAUUUGCUUACUCAGUUGAAACAAUUUGGAUUUCAUGUUUCCCCUUCUCCACUUGAAACAUUUUUGUAAGAUAAAAAAUUAACACUAACACGAUAAUAAAAAGUUUAAAGAGAUACAUCUUUA